UGAAAGGGAACUAGGCCCACGAACCUGGUGUAGAUAAGCACCCUUCCUAGGCCAACGAACCCUGGGGGAUAGCCUCUCCACCCUGAAUGAUAGCCACAUUGACUUCUCCACCCGUGUGAUAACCAUAUGGACCCUCGGUGAGCUCCAAGGGUAUAUAAGCCUGCCUUAAAGUUUGGUGGGGGGGGGAACCCCCUUUGGGCUCCUCCCCACGCGUGUGAAGUGAGUUACAAUAAACCACCUCUCUGUGCUGAUUGCAGCGUCUGUUCUGUUCCUUUGGCCCCUAAACGGACCCUAACAUAUGGGGGCUCGUCCCAAGGGUGUCCAGGAACCACAGACGGAGAGCAGGAGACCUACGCCGAGCAGGUAAGCCUCCGGGACCCCUAUUGGCUUAUUUGAAACCGAAACUGUGGGGUUAUGGUUUGAGUGUGUGAGUGAGUGAGGGAGCGUGGCAUACUUUAUGGCUGGAGGGAGACCCCGUGAAACGCAUACAGGCAAAGGGUGGCACAUUGUGCUCCAGGUCGGGGUUUAUACGACACACCUGUCCUAAGCGUCACGGGUCCAUCCCGUUCCGGGGUGAGGGCUUGCCCGCGACUCGGUUGAACUCCAGACCUGUUUCUGAGUGUGGACUUGGCGGUACCGCGGUUCUGUCUCCCCAGCAGGGGCCCAGCCGGGAAACCGAGGAAGCGAAUGCCAUCCCAUUCACCCCUUCCCGCCACCCCUCUCCCUACCCUACCCUCUCCCAACCCUACCCACUAGUUUCGGUUUCUACCAAAUCUAGGUUCGAGUCCUUUCGCAGUGUCCUGAGUUCGAGUCUCUGCUCGACACUACGAUAAACGGGGUGUUGGACACGGGAAGAGGCGCCCUUCCCUCCCCAACGCAUACCCCACAAAAUCCUGCAGGUACUGGCCCCAGGUUCGAGUCCUGAGGCCAUAGUCUUUCAGUGGGUUACAAAUCCCACUGGCCGUUAGGUGGGCUAGGGUCCCACUUGUUGUUAGGUGGGUUUGAGUCCCAUCCGUGUGGGUUUGAGUCCCGCGCCGGUGCACCGACUGAGGGACGCCUCACUCGGCCACCGGCACAUGGGUAGGCCCAAAUUUAACCUUAAUUUGUUUGGGCUAUCCCCCCGUCGCAGGCACACCAACUCGGCUGAUGGUCCCCUUGAUUUCUUCCUCACCACGCGUGGCCUUAUUUUUCUUACCUUCCUUUCUCUCCUUAUCUGUCUUCUCAUCUUUCUUCCUACUUUCACUAAACAAGAAUAGGAAACUCUCAAAGCCAGCCUAUCGACCUGGUCCUCCAGCAUUUUGGAGAUUUUAAAAGGAGGCAGGCGGGCAUGGGAUUAGAAGUCACUCACCCUAGACCAACGAGUCACUGGGGGCAAACAGCUGGACCCCUCGGCACCCCCCCCCCAAUCCUCCCACGCCUCCCCUGCUAGUUAGAGGCCUCCUCUCCCCACCCUGGAUCUCCGGAGGUUGAGAAACACCUGAGGAGCGGUCUGAGGGGGAGGGGAAGAAAAAAAAAGAAAAUUUGACCUAGCAAAACCCUCACUAUUGAGAACUUGAGAUCUCUCAGUCUGAAACAGACAGUUGCUAGAGCAUAGUGGAUUUCGAAAGGAGCAAGCUAAUCUUCACAGGCAGAUUCCUGGGAUGCAUUUGAAAGGCUUAUCAGGAAGUAAUUGCUUUGACUCAAAGCUGGGCACUUAAAGGCAAAAAAACUUUUUCUAAUAAAACCGCAGGUCUCAGCAAAAUUAAUGAAUCAAGGUAAUAAUCCUGAAUUAGGUUAAAUUCGGAACAGCCUAAGUUGUAAAAAGAUAUAUUGCCAUUCUGUAACCAAAGGCAGAAGAUUUUUUAAAAAAAGACAAGCCUCUGCACUCAGUUAGCAUGUGAAAAAGGUCCUAGGAACCCUUUUGUUUGAGGUCCAGCCAGGUAAAGGCAGGCUUUUACCUGGGUGAUUGCAAAUGAUAAGAAGCACCUUGAGAUGAGAUCUGGGAAUUUGAAUCGUUUUAAUUUAGGUUGGAUACAGGCAAAAUUAUAAAGGAAUGUCUACUUAUAUUUUUGAUAAAGGAAGUCAAAAAAGGAGAAUUAAAAAUCUUUCUCUGACUUUUGUUAUAUGCCACAGAAUAUCAGGACUAGAAACGUUUUAUCUGUAGAGAAAUAUUGGUAUAAAGCACGAGGUAAUUAAAGUGCUAACAGAAAAAUUUAAGGUUUGGGCUUAAAUCUGAAGCAGCUUGAAUUUUUUUCUCUACCGGCCAUGUGGCUUGAGCCACAUGGAAGAUAGCAUCAGAGCAACUGCGGUUGCAAGUUUUAUCACUAAUGCUGUAAUUGGCUAGAAGAAAAAUUUAAUACUGAGAUAUAAUAAGCAUGAAUUGGAAUAUGAUUUAAAGGAAUUUAUAAGGCUUUCUAAUUUUAACUAUGGAGGAAUUAUUAACAAUUUUCUAAGCAGGUGAUAUCGCUUAUCAAUGCAAGCUAUUGUGGGUUAAUUUCACCUCUGAUAGAUAUCCACUGUAUAUUUUGGAGCAAAAGGUGCAUUUCAGCAUGCUCCUGGCACAAAGGUUGAGCUGUGAAAAGUAAUGGGAGAUACUUACUCUCCUGGUUUAGGGCUCAAGCUCAAAUGAAGAAGUGAGCAAAGUGAUUACAGAUAACGGUGCACUACUAUCUAUUCCACACAGCUUGGAAUAGCAGGGCUUUUAACAGCAAUGCAAGGGCUAAAUUGCAUAGCUCAUGGCUUACAUGCAAGCUAUGGUAAAUAGAGAUCAAGGGAAUUCAUGAGCCCCAAGGUUCAAAAACUGAAAGUAUAGAUGUUCUGUCACUUUCUAACUCUCUGAGACCCAAUGAGGCUUUCAUUUGGGGUCGAGGUUUUCUGUUUACUUUCUCAGAUACAUGAAGUCAUGGACAGAUAUUCUGUUCUAUGAAUAUAUGGGUAUUUGGUAAGAGAUCUAACUAUUACAUGCCUGAAAAUUUUGAAUGGUAUUGGUACAAUAUGUAACUUGAAAUCAUUUUAUUGGAAUUCUUCCAUGUUAGCCAAAUGUGAUCAAAUAUCAAAAGGGUAUAAUUGGGAAUGUUAUGACAGUAUAAGGAACGCUGUCCACUUGCAGCACAAAUGGUAUUACUAUCCAACAUGUAAUUAUGAUUGUUGUCUUAAAGGGUACAUUAUAUUUGCAAACAACAUGUUUUUAUUAGAAUCAGACUUAUCUAGAAGUCAAUUUUGUUUAGCUGUGACUGUUCCACUUUCAUAAGGAAAGAGGUGGAUAUGGUGUCACUAAUCAUCUAUCUCUUCUACACCCCAGAAGGAAUAUAAGUUAAAGCUUUGUAAUAAUCAAUAUUGAAUGUAAUGAUAAAGAUCACAUUGUGUGAGAUACCUGAAUUGGGUUGAAUAUCAUCAAGAUAUUAAGACUGUAAGGGACCCAAGGGGAUGAUAAUGUUGGGCCGAGGUCUUGUUUGUAUGUUCACAGAUGAUGAAAACAUCUGGUCACCCACAUCAUGCUUCAUGCCAGCUGACACAGACCAGGAAGAGAAGCAGACGGACGCUGUUGUCAUCAGCCAUCUACAUGCCAGCCACAAUCCAGGCACGCUGGAGAGACACUUCUUUUGGUAACUAAUAUCACUCCAGAACAAUGACAUUACACUAUUAGAGACAUUGGCUAUUAGACCACUGAUGGACACUUGUCAUGCUGACAUCCAUUGAGAUGUGGUACCCAGAGCAACAUCGAGUAUGCUAACUCAGAAGGACUGAAAGACACAUUCAUUUCAGUAUAAGACACCAGAUGUGUCCCACACUCCAAAGACUUUGCUAUGGGAUUGAGAUGAAUUAGCUACAAAUUGUCUAGCUACUAAUGUAUACCCUGUAUUUUGUAUAUGAUACUGUCAAAAGGAAUGUAUAUUGUAUGCAUUGUAAACCUACCACUUGUAUUGUAAGAAAUGCUGUUAUCCAACAAGGGUAUAGACAUUGGUAUGACUCUCCAAAGAGUAGGAGAUAGAAAACUUUCAUUCAUAGCAUAGAUCUGAUACUUCUGACAACAAAAAUGAGGUGCUAAGCAGAAAAUGCUGCUCACUCAUGGUUAAUGGACAGAUGACACUGAUGUUACUCUCAAGAAAGGAUGAGAGAUCAGGCAAAAGACACUAGGAAAUCUUUAAUCAGGAACCUGAGUUAUUGUCACAUUGAAUAUUAUACACUAACAACUAGGUAUGAAAAAGCUAUGUCAAAUUCUAUAGGUACAAGAAACUGUAGAAAUUGUUUUUUAAGCUUCUAUUUACCCAAACAUUGGUUUGGUGGAAUGAAUUUUGCAAAUAUUGGUAAUGGUAUAGGCUUGGUUAUCAUAUUGAUGGGUUUAUUUAUACAAGCAGAGAUUUAAAUAAGGAUGACAUAAGGAAUAUGCAGUCAGAACUUGAAAUAUUACUUCAUUGUCACCAUCGUGGCUAUUUAAGCUACAAAUCAGAAUGUAAAGUGUAUGGGAAUAUUGGUAUUUGUUAAAAAUUGCACUGUGAUUAUUGUAUUAAUGUUUUUGCAGAGCCUGUAAUGGUGCAAAAUUAUGUUCACAUACAAAGUGAAUUUUGAUCUUUUUAGAUCAGGAAUUAGGAAUCAUUGGGACUAUAAGUUCUGAUAUUUUACAUUGGCUCAGUAGAGCCAAGAGAAUUUUGUAUUAAUUUUGGGAUCAGGUUCCCAGGAUCAAUUUUCUAAGAUCAUUUGACAUGUGAUAACAUGAUCCUCCAGAAUUAUUCAGAGAGGAUGUUUUUCUUUGAAGGGAUCUCUCCCAACACACAAACAAAAAGAAAAGGGAGAGGAAUCAUAUAGAGAUCAGUAUGUUCAUUUGAGAGAACACUUUUGAUUCAUUUUCAAGUAUUCAACUUUGAUUUUUCUGUUGCACAAUUAUUGCCAGAACCUUUUAAGUACAAAGAAAGUACUGUUAAUGCUCUGAUCCAGAAUUAUGAAGGUGCAAAGAUUUCUAGAAUUACAGUCACCUGACAGUCAGUGAACAUGAGAACAUGACAGCAAUUGUUAAUUUUCAGAUGACCAUUCUGGAGAGUAAUGUCUGAUUGCAUGUAAGGGGAAUCAUAAUGAAGCUUUCAUUAUGGACCAGACAGCCUCAGCCACGAUUAUACACUUUCCAUGUGAAAUGGAUGUUUGAGGUUGGGAAAUGCAGAGACGUGGCGUACUGACACCCUUAGUCGCUGAAUGUCCUGGCAUUGAGUACCAACCAGUUUCCUAGGUGGCGGGCAUCUGGCAGCGAGCACGGAAAGAUCCCCAAGAUGCAGUAUCAAUACGAGAGAAAGGAAGGACUUAUCCUUCAUCUCCAGAGAUAGUAUUUUGCUAACUGUUGAAAAAGGCGGACAACUUCUGAUGGUCCAGACUGUGAAAGGUGGCGUGUUUGAUUAUUGCACCUGUCAUGUGAACCAUAGAAUUCUACCUCAUUAGACCAGGAUCAGUAGCGUGGAAAUUAUUUUCUUAACAUUUUUAUAUCUACUAAGACUGUUGCAUUGAUCCUGAAAUACAGACAGGCAGAUAGAAAGAUCAGUUUGGGAUUUUUAAGACUGAUCACUGAAUCAGUUUAUGCUGAGGUUCACUCUUGAUUGGUAUAUCUAAGUUAUACAAUCAGGGUGGGUUUUUCAUCCUGUAUCAGAAUAUGAUUAUGCACCAGAGUGUUUGUAUUUGUUAAUGCUGUAAUGUUGCUACACUAUUCAUUUGUGUGUCAAACAAACAGGGGGAGAUGUAGCAGCCCACGCCUAGCUAUGGGCGAGGGGAACAGUUGGUAUGUGCAGAUUGCCUUGGUAUUGCUCAUGGCUGCGAAGGCCUCUGACCUUUGACCCCAGCCAUGAUAAUCACCCAACAACCACGGACCCCAGGGACUCCAAGCCGCUGAGAAAAAAAAAAAAAGUGGGGAAUGAAAGGGAACUAGGCCCACGAACCUGGUGUAGAUAAGCACCCUUCCUAGGCCAACGAACCCUGGGGGAUAGCCUCUCCACCCUGAAUGAUAGCCACAUUGACUUCUCCACCCGUGUGAUAACCAUAUGGACCCUCGGUGAGCUCCAAGGGUAUAUAAGCCUGCCUUAAAGUUUGGUGGGGGGGGGAACCCCCUUUGGGCUCCUCCCCACGCGUGUGAAGUGAGUUACAAUAAACCACCUCUCUGUGCUGA